GCCCGGCUAGCUCAAUCGGUAGAGCGUGAGACUCUUAACCUGAUUAGGCAUCUCAAGGCUGCGGGUUCGAUCCCCGCGUUGGGCU